AUGGUUCGUUGGACCGACAUCUGCAAACCUACGGACCAAGGUGGCCUCGGCAUCAUGUCCUCCAAACACAUGAACCUGGCCCUCCUGACGAGGUGGCUUUGGCGCAUUGCGAAUGGCGAGGGAGGUCUGUGGCUGCAAAUCAUCCGGAACAAAUACUUACGCGGCCAACCUCUUGCCUUCUGCCUUCGGACAGGGGGCUCCCAGUUCUAG
rnacentral:rRNA from 1 species